GACGAACGCUGGCGGCGUGCUUAACACAUGCAAGUCGAACGAUGAACCCGGAGCUUGCUCCGGUGGAUUAGUGGCGAACGGGUGAGUAACACAUGAGUAACCUGCCCUUGACUCUGGGAUAACUGCGGGAAACUGUAGCUAAUACCGGAUACGACCCUCGGCGGCAUCGCCAGGGGGUGGAAAGAAUUUCGGUCAAGGAUGGACUCGCGGCCUAUCAGCUAGUUGGUGAGGUAACGGCUCACCAAGGCGACGACGGGUAGCCGGCCGGAGAGGGUGAGCGGCCACACUGGGACUGAGACACGGCCCAGACUCCUACGGGAGGCAGCAGUGGGGAAUAUUGCACAAUGGGCGCAAGCCUGAUGCAGCAACGCCGCGUGAGGGAUGACGGCCUUCGGGUUGUAAACCUCUUUUAGUAGGGAAGAAGCGAAAGUGACGGUACCUGCAGAAAAAGCACCGGCUAACUACGUGCCAGCCGCCGCAGUAA
rnacentral:rRNA from 1 species